rnacentral:tRNA from 1 species
GCGCCUGUGGUGUAAUGGCGUAGCAUCCUGCCUGGUAAUCAGAAGGUGAAGGUCCUAGUCCUAUCUGGCGCU